rnacentral:rRNA from 1 species
ACGAACGCUGGCGGCGUGGUUCAGGCAUGCAAGUCGAACGAUACCGCAAGGUAUAGUGGCAGAAGGGUUAGUAACACGUGGGCAAUCUACCCUCGACUCGGGGAUAACAUUUCGAAAGAAGUGCUAAUACCCGAUGACAUUACCCGGUCAUAAGAUCAGGUAAUCAAAGGUGGCGCAAGCUGCCGAUUGAGGAGGAGCCCGCGGCCUAUCAGCUAGUUGGUGAGGUAACGGCUCACCAAGGCUUUUGACGGGUAGCUGGUCUAAGAGGACGAUCAGCAACAUUGGGACUGAGACACUGCCCAGACUCCUACGGGAGGCUGCAGUCGAGGAUCUUUAGCAAUGCCCGAAAGGGUGACUAUGCGACGCCGCGUGCAGGAUGAAGGCCUUCGGGUUGUAAACUGCUGUCAGGGGGGAAGAAAGCUCGGGUGUUAACAGCAUCAGAGUUUGACAUCACUCCCAAAGGAAGCCACGGCUAACUCUGU